GUUAUAAAUGAUCACAAGUUCUACCCUCUUUAUCAUCAUCUCAAAAAAAUCAAUCUAAAACCCCUCACAUCACUCACCCAAUGUACAACUCUUUUUUUUUUUUUUUUAUGACCCACUCACUAGGGAUUUUAAUCCACUUUCCACAAGCUCUAACCCUUUUUCAUUUCCUUCCCCAACUUCUUUUUGAUCUUUUUUUUUUUUUUUUUUUUUUUUUUAGGGGGAAGGUUCUUUGUUGCAUAAUCAAGAGCUUCUUAUU
rnacentral:lncRNA from 1 species